AGUGAAGUGCCUGAGUUAUAAAUAUAAGGAUUAUCGUGAUAGGGUAAAAUACGCAAAUUUUUAUGCCUUCACUA
rnacentral:tRNA from 1 species